UACGAAGGGGACUAGCGUUGUUCGGAUUUACUGGGCGUAAAGCGCGCGUAGGCGGAUCGCUAAGUCAGGGGGUGAAAAUCCCAGGGGCUCAACCCCUGGAACUGCCUUUGAUACUGACGAUCUGGAGAUCGGGAGAGGUUGGUGGAAUUCCGAGUGUAGAGGUGAAAUUCGUAGAUAUUCGGAGGAACACCAGAAGCGAAGGCGGCCAACUGGCCCCGAUACUGACGCUGAGGCGCGAAAGCGUGGGGGAGCAAACAGGAUUAG
rnacentral:rRNA from 1 species